UGACGUAGGAUAUUUUCAACGUAUGACACAUCGGUCAGGACACAACCCCCUCGUAGGGAGAGGAAGAUCUGUACAUGCACUGCCUUAGCUAACUAGUCGUCACCGACCGCAUUUACGUACAUCUAUGCAGGCGCACAUACGUAUACACAAACUAGGUUAGUUAGAGACUUCAUUGCACAUUCUCUAUUUCCCGCUCAUCAUCAUUUCCUUCUUUUUGGGCAGAGUCCUACAGUCCGCUGAAGGCACGGGCUCCAGAACCGUCCUCAUCCUUGGGUGCAGGGGCGCAUCUGACUUGGGCUCAUCAGGCCUGUUGGCUCCUUUCCUUCUACCACACUGGGCUCGGGCGUCCCGGCAGGACACGGGCAGCACGGAGCUCUCGUCUGAUGGUGGUUAUCGGUCUCAGGGCAGGCCCGCCGCACGCUGCUUGCACGCUGCUUGCACGCUGCUUGCACAAGAGGCCUGGCCGUCGGAAGCCAGCUUGUAAACCCAGGAGAACCCAGACCUGGGGCCCUGAGCAGGUGCCCAUGACGCUUCCAGUAUUAACAGGCAUUUACACCUACUGA
rnacentral:lncRNA from 12 species